UCAGCGGGUAUCCCUAUCUGAUUCGAGGCCGAGAAAUAAGUUUAAAAAAUGUUAUAGGGAACUUCGGUCUUCGAUAUGCAGUUUGUUGCACUCUAGGACACUCCAUAUCCCUGAUGAUUUGAAAGAUACCAUUUAUAGCUGGUAAUCUCAACACAAGGAGUUAAUUUCCUUAAUUUUUAGACGGCGCUCGAACAGAUAUACCUUACAAGUAAACUUGGAAGGUGCAAUGUGCGUUCAAAAAUUCGAUGAUUCACAUAAUUCUGCAAUUCACAUUACUUAUCGCAAUUCGCUGCGUUCUUCAUCGAUGCCAGAACCA
rnacentral:misc_RNA from 1 species